UAGGCUACAUUCACCACAGCUCGAUGUGAGAGUGUGCGUGCGAAAAUUUUCCCUGAACCCACCCAAGCACAUGGUAGGAGAGAUGCUUCCCUUAAAAAUCACUUUCCCUUGUAAUUACUAUAGCUAUCUAUAUACCUAUCUCGGCCAUUUUCCACUUCCAAUGUGGGACUAAACAUUCCACACAAAAAGUGCAUUGCCCAAAAGCAAAUCCUAUGUAAUUAAAGUACAAAAUAGUGUGGGAGGGAAAACCAAAACUCAAAAAGGUAGGCAAGAUAUUUUGAAACUCAUUUUAUUAAAUACAUUUGAUACAACAUCCCUAAACAAAAUAAAAAUCACAGUCAAUUACAUCUUGUGGAUUACUGGGAUCUAAUAUGCAAGCAUAUGCAGAAAGAAGACCAACCCAUGAAAUGGAACCUGUGGACAAUUGCACAAUAUGAGCCGCAAGAACAUAUACAAGUUCUGGGGGAAAGCCACCAUCGAAUCAAUGAUUUACCAGAUUGGUUUUGUCAGAACCAAAGAGCGCUAUCAGCAAUACAGGUUUUUUAUUUAGUUGAAAGACAUUGACCUGGAGUCGAUGACAAGGCUCAAGCUGGGGUUUAUGGAGUCCGGCGUCUCUGUAAAUGAUGUGCCACCAAGAACUGAGAAGAGGGUGCAAUGUGUUAGGUAUAAACUUGUAAAGGAAAAAUGAUUUUGGUUAUGCUUGGAUAAUGUCACAUUGUCACAGGGAAAACUAUGAUGGAGAAAGCGAUGAUUCCAAUAAGGUUUCCAGCUUAUACAUUAUCUUAAGAAGCCAGGAUGAGACGACUAGAAUGUGAAGUGAAUGCUUCGUUCUUACCAAAACAAGUGAGUGCAAUCAGAUGUACUUGGUUCAUGAGUUAAGAGAGCUUGUCUCUUUAGAGUGGCAGCUAGUUAAUAGACAAAAUGGUCGUCAUGAUAGUUUUACUGCUGCUCAUGUAGUCCUGGAUAAGGGUGUCGUUAUGUACAAUAUUGAAAUGCAGCAAUUUUUGGAUAUGUCAUGUUCUGCUAUUCUCAAGGAUAAGGGAGUUUUUGUGAACCAGAUUGAAAUGCAGCAGGAUGGAAUGUCAUGUCCUGCUAUUCUCGAAGUACCUUCACCCCUUUAUCAUAUUUGGAUUGGUAAGCAGUUAUUCAAGUGGUGUGCGAAUCAGAGCAGGAGAACUUUCAUCUUCCUUGGAUGAAUCUGCUUGGUAACAAGAUACAGAUGGCUACAUUUUCUCUGGUCUUGAUAAAAUUUUCAGAAGUGAAACUCUUAAUUUACUGUUCACUUCUCAGGAAGCUCUUUGUGAGUGGAUGUCAAUGAGGGGAUUAAGCAUGUAUUUGUCUGCUACGCCCGGCAAAUUAUAAUUGAUAGAGAGUGUGCUUUACAAGCAGAGCAGAUCUGUCAAGUCAAACAAUCCAUGGUGGAUCCUGCCUUGGAGUUCUUUCUCAAGCUUGGUGAAGAAAACCAUUAUGCAAAGUUUCUCAAUAUGGAGCACAAAAGUCACUUGAACCAGAAAUCUAGUUUAUUGAAUCAAGUUUUAGCUGGUACUUUUGGAGAAGUUUUUCAUGACAUUCAAAACCUAUUCUAUCAGUAUUCCAGUAAAGGCAAUUCACUGUUGGACAUGGUAAAGGAUGGAAGCAAGGGUAAUCUCUUGAAACUUGUUCAGCAAAGCGUAUGCCUUGGUUUGCAACAUCCUUCAGUUCCAUUACCUUUCAAAUACCCCAACAGGAUUUCUUGUUAUAUGUGGAAUCCGCUUUCCCUUCGCACAUUUCUGAAGAGCUUGCUCUUGAUGCUACCUCUAGAUCAAGGUUUUGAUUUCAAAGAUGAUGUCAAUGGGUCCAUGCUGAUGGCAAUGCCGAAGGUGGGGGUUCCAUUUUCAUUUGUGGUUGUAUUUGUCUGGGGAUGCCCAGUCGUUAAUUACUUGUACUUGUUUUCAUUUUACUCCUUUUAAUACCAUCUGAUUUUCUAGCAUAAAAACAGAAGGCUUAUGAAACUUCUGUACAAAACGAAUCUAAAGUUCCCUGUGCUGUGGUUGAAAAUUCUUUUCUUGAUGGCCUGGACCCAUUAGAAUGUUUUCUUUACUUGGUAACAAGAAAGCUUAUGUUUUA